rnacentral:rRNA from 1 species
AGUGAACGCUGGCGGCGUGCCUAAUACAUGCAAGUCGAACGGAGUGGCGCACGGGUGAGUAAUGUAUAGCUAAUCUGCCCUACACUAGAGGACGACAGUUGGCAACGGCUGCUAAUAAUCUAUAGUGUAGGAUGAGGCUAUAUUGUCUCAGCGAGUUGGUGAGGUAAUGGCUCACCAAGGCUAUGACGGAUAACUGGUCUGAGAGGAUGAACAGUCACACGGGAACUGAGACACGGUCCAGACUCCUACGGGAGGCAGCAGUAGGGAAUAUUGCUCAAUGGGGGAAACCCGGAAGAAGCAACGCCGCGUGGAGGAUGACACUUUUCGGAGCGUAAACUGCUUUUGUUAGGGAAGCGUUACCUAACAAAUAAGCACCGGCUAACUCCGUGCCAGCAGCCGCGGUAAUUC